UGGUAGUCCCACCCUGUAAACGAUGAAUGCUAGGUGUAGGGGGUAUCGACCCCUUCUGUGCCGGAGUUAACACAAUAAGCAUUCCGCCUGGGGAGUACGGCCGCAAGGUUGAAACUCAAAGGAAUUGACGGGGGCCCGCACAAGCAGCGGAGCAUGUGGUUUAAUUCGAAGCAACGCGAAGAACCUUACCAGGUCUUGACAUCCAAUAAAACUUGUAGAGAUACAUCGUGGACUUCGGUCCGUAUUGAGACAGGUGGUGCAUGGUUGUCGUCAGCUCGUGUCGUGAGAUGUUGGGUUAAGUCCCGCAACGAGCGCAACCCUUGUGAUCAGUUACUAACAGAUAAUGCUGAGGACUCUGAUAAGACUGCCGGGGACAACUCGGAGGAAGGUGGGGACGACGUCAAAUCAUCAUGCCCCUUAUGACCUGGGCUACACACGUGCUACAAUGGCCACUACAGAGAGAAGCGAGCCUGAGAGGGGGAGCGGAUCUCAAAAAAGUGGUCCCAGUUCGGAUUGUGGGCUGCAACCCGCCCACAUGAAGUCGGAGUUGUCUAGUAAUCGGGGAUUCAGC
rnacentral:rRNA from 1 species